GCAAAGAAAAGCAUGGAGAUUUUUUUCACAUGUGGUGGACAUGGGGGAAAAUGAAAAAGUUUUGGGAACUAAUCUAUAACGAACUAAAAAAGAUGCUUAAAUAUACUUGCUCGGCUUGAUGGGGGAGGAUAUUAAGAAAGUUGACCAAAGAUUAUUCAUGUAUGCCACGACUGCUGCUAGAAUUCUGAUAGCCCAAAAAUGGAAAGUACAGGCAUUCCCAACCGUGAAGGAGUGGCAGACGAAGCUGGUCGAAUAGGCGGAAUUCGCAAAACUGAACUGCAGGAUCCGCAACCGGGAGGAAACACGUUCCCAAAGAGAAUGGAGUGAAUUCAUGGACUAUAUAGGUGAGAGCCGUAGAAAUCUGAGGACGUUAGCAGGGCUGAAAUAAAUCGUAUGACAUGGACUAGAUAUUAUCAAGGAACUGUGGAUGAGAGAUUGGAGUAAGAAAAGCUGCUGAAGGGAGGGAGGGAAGUCAGUGAGCAGAAAGAACGAUAGUUGCAAAAAGAUAUGAAAUAUUGGUGUAUUUUGUUUGUGUAUAUGAAAUGAAAACCUAAUAAAAAGUAUAAUAAAAUAAAAAUAAACGAAAAAGAAAGGGGGAUGAGGUGGGUGGGGGUGAGCAGAACCAGGGACGCACCCCCCAGCUUGGCUCCUGCUGUUGUCUGUGGGGGCAGAGGAGGGGGGCACGACUCGCCCCCUGUUUGUGCCAACUGCAGAUGCCCAGAAUGCCUCUGUCAGAGGAGAUCUGGCCUGGCACAUCAGAAACUGCUUUUCUCCCUCCUGGGCUGAAUGCCCUUCGCCCCUGGGGCCCUGAGAGAGCUGGCUCAGCAGGCGCCUCGCCCAUGAGCUGUGGGGCUGACCCUCUGGGGGCCUCCGAGGGUCGCUGGUGCCCAUGUCAGAAACACUUAAGGAACCUCUGAGCGCCAGGAGUGCCUCUGCCAGCCUCUUGCCUGUCUGCGUCAGGAUGUCAAGGACCGGCAUGUGGCGGCUGCGAAAGAGGCAAAUGCUACGCUAGGGGUCCUUAGCAAAGGAAUUGAGCAGAAAACUGCCAGGGCCAUGAUGCCAUCAUCAAACGCUAAGGAUGGCAGCUGACAGAUUGAGGCUGAAUCCUGACAAGACAGAUGUCCUGUUUUGGGAGGACAGGCAGGUGUGGAGGAGGACUCCCUGGUCCUGAAUGGGGUAACCGUGCCCCUGAAGGACUCACAGCUGUCCAUGGAGGCGCAGGUCAAUUCUGUGUCCAGGGCAGCUGUCUACCAGCUCCAUCUGGUAUGCAGGAUGAGACCCUCCCUGCCUACAGACUGUCUCACCAGAGAGGGGCAUGCUCUGGUUAUCUCCCGCUCGGACUACUGCAAUGCGCUCUACGUGGGGCUACCUUUGAAGGUGACUCAGAAACUGCAACUAAUCCAGAAUGCGGCAGCUAGACUGGUGACUGGGAGCGGCCUCCAGGACCCUAUUACACUGGUCCUGAAAGACCAACAUCAACUCCCAGUACGUUUCUGAGCACAAUUCAAAGUGUUGGUGCUCACCUUUAAAGCCCUAAACAGCUUCAGUCCAGUAUACUCUUGAAGGAGCGUCUCCAUCCCCAUUGUUCUACCUGAACACUGAGGUCCAGCUCCAAGGGCCUUCUGGCGGAUCCCUCACUGUGCAAAGUGAAGUUUCAGAGAACCAGGCAGAGGGCCUUCUCAGUGGUGGCGCCCGUCCUGUAGAACACCCUUCCAUCAGAUGUCAAGGAAAUAAACAACUGUCUGACUUUUAGAAGACAUCUGAAGGCAGCCCUGUUUAGGGAAGUGUUUAAUGUUUUAUUCUGUUUUUAGUGUUCUGUUGGGAGCCACCCAGAGUGGAUGGUAAACCCAGCCAGAUGGGUGGGGUAUAAAUGAUUAAUAAUAAUAAUAACUAUGUUACUCCGUUGAAGUCUCCCAUGAUGAUCAUACUGUCAUUACUGUAUUCUAAUAGCUUAUCUUCAAGGUUUUUUUGAAGAAGUUUGUUUUAUUUCCAUUUGAUGCGUAUACCCAGGGCCGUCUUUACCAGGCGGUGCAAGUGGCUCAUUGCGCCAGGACGCCAAGCUCCGGAGGGUGCCUAGUUGGGAGUCCGGGCCGAGUUGGAGUCGUCUGGGACUCUGGGAAGAGCCGAGAGCCGAAUGGAGCACAGCUCUUCUGCUGUGGGCGGCUCAUUCAGUUCAGGAGCGAGCGAGGCACAGGUGGUGAGGCAGCCCACGGGCUCUGCCCCCUGCGUGCCGUUGGGUGUAGAGACAGGCCCGCCCAGCACGCGCUACUCACGAGGCGCCCUGGAGGCCCCACAGAGCUUUCUGCCCCAUCUGCCCCUGCCCCUGGGUGCAGGAAAUGCACGCAGUCCCAGGCGCCUGAUCGCUUGUUCCUUCCUGCCCUCGAGGCUCCGCCCCCUGACUCUCGCAGCGUUCUUGUGUAGUGAUCAGGUGGGAUUGCUGUGAGGAAUUAUAAAAAAUAUGUGUCAGCAAUGAAAGCAUUGCGUUGACUGGGUUUGAGACAUUUUGAUAUGAUUUCUGAUCAAUCCACGCCUCUGCUUCCCUGUCCUAUUACUCUCGCUUGACAAGACACGUACACAGCCCAGUUGCCAGUUGCUUCCCUGGGCAUCCUCAGUACAUAAAGAUAGUAGGUUACUUUGAUGUAGUUUAAUCUUUAGAGAGAUCUUAGGGGCCAGGAAGAGAGUUCACAAGGAGAUGGUAAAUCCUGCCAUCCUGCCUCUCCUGUUUACUCCUGUUUAGGACUGUCAGAUGGCCGUUGCAGUUGCUCGAGAGUAACCAGGCAGGACUCCAACCUGUCUUUUCCAGGCUUUAUUUUGGUGCAAACUAUUUACAGUGAAGAGCCCCAAAGCUCAUGUCUGGCUCAAUCGCUAGCAGAAUCCGGGAGUGGUCUUUUUUUGGACCUCCCCCAACACAAGAAUUUCAUUACCCCCAGCCUUCGCCUUCCCUCUUUGCGCCUUAGACUACUGCGCAGGAUGGGCGAUGGCGAGGGGGUGUUUCCCUCCUGUCCGGCUUGCCUGGGAGUGGUGUUAAGGCUUCCUCCAGCAUCCUCUGAUCCUUGCACCUCUUCCCCACGGGAGGUGGGGCAUUCCUCCUCCCCAGAAGAGGAACUGCUUUGCAAGAUUUUCGGAGGCUGCCUGUAACACAACUGCCCUUCUAUUUCUCGCCUCUGAGCCGAUGGCAGUUCCCUGACAAUGACCUUCCUAAAAGCAUUCCUCUUCGCUUCCUCUUUUAUUUACUCUGAAUUGCAUAUGCAUGCUCAAGUAGGAAAUUAGCUCUUUGUAGUUUUAACUUUAACUUUGUCCCCACGUGGGGUUGGUUUUUUUUUUAAAUGCUCAGAGGAAAUCUGAUUGGUUCUUACGUACACUAUGUAAAAAGUUCUUUUGUGAAUAAAACGACCUGGGCUGAGGGGUCGAGAGGGGAUUAUUAUUAUACGCACUCCUCCCAGAGUCUUGCUGGUUCAAGCCUCUGUGUGUUAUUAAUCAGAGUCUAAUCCUUCAUUUGCUUUGGGAAUGCCACAUUGAAGGUUUGCUGGCGUCCUGAGUGAGUAGCUGGAGGGAAGCAAGAGCCGCGACUCAACAGAGGGAUUUCCUCCCUGCCCCUUUGAGCCACUUGGAGCCAGCUUGGGGGGGGGGAGUGUACGAUGGGCGCUCCUAGCUGGCUCCCAGUGGCUCAAAGGGGCAGGGAAACCUGGUAUAUACCAGCCCCACGCAUCAGCCUUCAGGUGUUCAUAGAAUCAUAGAAUCAUAGAAUUGGAAGAGACCACAAGGGCCAUCGAGUCCAACCCCCUGCCAAGCAGGAAACAUCAUCAGAGCACUCCUGACAUAUGGUUGUCAAGCCUCUGCUUAAAGACCUCCAAAGAAGGAGACUCCACCACACUCCUUGGCAGCAAAUUCCACUGUCGAACAGCUCUUACUGUCAGGAAGUUCUUCCUAAUGUUUAGGUGGAAUCUUCUUUCUUGUAGUUUGGAUCCAUUGCUCCGUGUCCGCUUCUCUGGAGCAGCAGAAAACAACCUUUCUCCCUCCUCUAUGUGACAUCCUUUUAUAUCUUUGAACAUGGCUAUCAUAUCACCCCUUAACCUCCUCUUCUCCAGGCUAAACAUGCCCAGCUCCCUUAGCCGUUCCUCAUAAGGCAUCGUUUCCAGGCCUUUGACCAUUUUGGUUGCCCUCCUCUGGACACCUUCCAGUUUGUCAGUGUCCUUCUUGAACUGUGGUGCCCAGAACUGGACACAGUACUCCAGGUGAGGUCUGACCAGAGCAGAAUACAGUGGCACUAUUGCUUCCCUUGAUCAAGAUGCUAUACUACUAUUGAUGCAGCCCAGAAUUGCAUUGGCUUUUUUAGCUGCUGCGUCACACUGUUGGCUCAUGUCAAGUUUGUGGUCAACCAAGACUCCUAGAUCCUUUUCACAUGUACUGCUCUCAAGCCAGGUGUCCCCCAUCUUGUAUUUGUGCCUCUCAUUUUUUUUGCCCAAGUGCAAUACUUUACAUUUCUCCCUGUUAAAAUUCAUCUUGUUUGUUUUGGCCCAGUUCUCUAAUCUGUCAAAGUCAUUUUGAAGUGUGAUUCUGUCCUCUGGGGUGUCAGCCACCCCUCCCAGUUUGGUGUCAUCUGCAAAUUUGAUCAGGAUGCCCUUGAGUCCAUCAUCCAAGUCGUUGAUAAAGAUGUUGAAUAAGACCGGGCCCAAGACAGAACCCUGUGGCACCCCACUAGUCACUCUUCUCCAGGAUGAAGAGGAACCAUUGAUGAGCACCCUUUGGGUUCAGUCAGUCAGCCAGUUACAAAUCCACUGAGUGGUAGCAUAGUCAAGACCGCAUUUUACCAGCUUCUUUACAAGAAUAUCAUGGGGCACCUUGUCAAAUGCCUUGCUGAAAUCAAGGUAGGCUACAUCCACUGCGUUCCCUUCAUCUACCAGGCUUGUAAUUCUGUCAAAAAACGAGAUCAGGUUAGUCUGACGUGCUAACUAUGCUGACUAUUGGUGAUCACAGCAUUCCUUUCUAGGUGCUCACAGACUGUUUGCUUAAUGAUCUGCUCCAGAAUCUUCCCUGGUAUUGAUGUCAGACUGACUGGGCGGUAAUUAUUUGGGUCCUCUCUUUUCCCUUUUUGAAAAUAGGGACAACAUUUGCCCUCCUCCAGUCUGCCGGGACUUCGCCUGUUCUCCAGGAAUUCUCAAAGAUGACUGCCACUGGUUCUGAGAUCACAUCUGCCAGUUCUUUUAAUACUCUUGGAUGCAGUUCAUCUGGCCCUGGAGACUUGAAUACAUCUAAACUAGCCAAGUAUUCUUGUACUAUCUCCUUAGUUAUUCUGGGCUGUGUUUCCGUUGCUGAAUCAUUUGCUCCAAAUUCUUCAGGUCGGGCAUUGUUUUCUUUAUCGGAGAAGACUGAGGCAAAGAAGGCAUUGAGGAGUUCAGCCCUUUCUGUGUCCCCUGUUUGCAUUUCACCAUCUUCUCCUCUGAGUGACCCCACUGUUUCUUUGUUCUUCCUUUUGCUACGGACAUACCCAUAAAAGCCUUUUUUGUUGCUUUUAACCUCUCUAGCAAGCCUGAGUUCAUUCUGUGCUUUAGCUUUUCUGACUUUGUGCCUACACGUGCUGGCUAUUUGUUUGAAUUCCUCUUUGGUGGUUUCCCCCCUUUUCCAUUUUUUGUACACAUCCUUUUUAAUCUUAACUCAGUUAAAAGUUCUUUAGAUAGCCACCCUGGCUUCUUUAGGCACCUUCCAUGUUUCCGUCUCAUUGGUAUUGCCUGACGUUGUGCUUUUACUAUCUCCCUCUUAACAAACUCCCAGCCAUCAUGAACCCCUUUCCUUUUAGUAUUACUGUCCAUGGGAUCUCACCCAGCACUUCCCUAAGUUUUAUGAAGUCGGCUUUCUUAAAGUCAAGAAAUUGAGUCCUAGUAUGCUUGGCUGCUCCUUUCCGCUGUAUAGUAAACUUCAGAAGAGCAUGAUCACUCGCGCCUAAUGAUCCUUCCACUUCUACCCCACUAACCAGGUCAUCAACAUUGGUUAGGACCAGAUCUAAAAUGGCUGUUCCUCUUGUUGCUUCUCCCACUUUCUGGACAAUGAAGUUGUCUGCAAGGCCAGUGAGGAAUCUGUUUGACCUUAUGCUCUUGGCUGAGUUUGACAUCCAACAAAUAUCCGGGUAAUUGAAGUCCCCAUUACUACUAUCUCCCUUCCUUUUGCAUGCUUGGCCAUCUGUUCCAGGAAGGCAUCAUCUAUGUCCUCCGUUUGGCUUGGGGAUCUAUAGUAAACUCCCACAAUGAGGUCACUGUUAUUCUUCUCUCCCUUAAUUUUGACCCAAAUGCUCUCACUUUGGCUUUGAGGUUCUAAAUCUUGGAUCUCUUCACAGGUAUACACAUCCCUGACAUAUAACGCCACUCCUCCUCCUUUCUUGUCUGGUCUGUUUCUCUGAAAUAGAUUGUAUCCCCCAUUAUUACAUUCCAAUCGUGGGACUUAUCCCACCAGGUUUCAGUGAUGCCUAUUAUGUCAUAUUUAGUUUGCUGUACCAAGAGCUCAAGCUCAUCUUGUUUAUUUCCCAUGCUUUGCGCAUUAGUGUACAGACAUUGAAGUCCAUUAAUCAUUCCCCGUGUCUCUUAUUUAAGGAUUUUUUCCUCCCACCACUAGGUCUGUGUGCUGUUUGCUCCAUUUGGUCUAUGACAUUUGGAUGAUCAUCUUCAUCAAUUGAUAGACUCCUACCUUCAGGAGCACUGUCUCCUCCCCCACAUUAGUCAGUUUAAAGCCCUCCUGAUUAGGUUUCUGAGAUUUUUGGCAAAAACUUUUCUCCCAACCGCUGUGAGGUGCAGCCCAUCGCGUGCCAGAAGUCCAUCUUCAAGAAACUGCAGUCCGUGCUCUAAGAAUCCAAACCGUUCCUGUUUACACCAUUGGCGCAGCCAGCUGUUCACUUCCACUAUUUUCCCUCUCUCCCUGGGCCACGCUGCUCAACUGGGAGGACAGAUGAGAUGACAAUUUGUGCAUUUAAUUGCUUCAAUUUCCUGCCCAGAGCCUCGUAGUCUCUUUUGAUCUUCUGGAGGCUAUUGCUUGCAGUGUCAUUGGUUCCUACAUGAACCAAGAGGAAGGGAUAUUUGUCAGUGGGUUUUAUGAUUCCUUGCAGUCGUUCAGUUACAUCUUGGAUCUUAGCUCCGGGGAGACAGCACACUUCCCGAGACAUCUUGUCAGGCCCACAGAUCACUGCUUCUGUUCCCUCAGUAGGGAAUCCCCUAUCACCACUACACGCCUCCUCUUAGGUUUGGUCGGGUUCUUCCGUGAGCUGUCCGCUCCAAGGUCGCCUGCACAUUCCCUGAGGACUGACUUUGCUGCUCGCCUUCAUAUACCUGAUCGACUGUAAUGAGGGAGAGAUCCUCAAAUGGAGUCUGCUCUUCGUCUUCCAUGCUAGGGGAGAGGACCUCAAAGCGAUUGUGUAUUUCUAAACAAUCAGAGCGAACCCUGGGCCUCCUACUUCUUUGAGUCACGUUUCUCCAUAUAUCUGGCUCCUGUGUUGGUGAACUAGCCUCCUUCUCAGGGGAGUCCCCUGUCUCCUCCUUGGUGGAGACGGUGUGCUCUGUUGCUUCCAAGAAGAGCUCCAGCUCUCUAAUUCUUUGGAGCGUAGCUACACGUUCCUCCAGUUGCUGGACUUUGUCUUUUAAGAGGGCAAUCAACAUGCAAUUGCUGCAGGUAAAGCUGCCUGCAACCUUGGCAAGAUGGCAAACAUUGCGCAGGAACCGCAGGCGACUGCAGCUGUUCCCUCCUCCAUCUUGAGAACGUGUCGUUGGGGGUGGCUACAGUGGUCCUCCAUCAUAAAAAGCGUGAAGACAGGACAAAUAACUCCCCGCACAAAAAAACCUAGGUCUCCCCCAACAAACGUUUGAGACUAGCUCCCCUAAAUCUAAAAGAUGGAUCAAACUGUGCCGCUGCCCUGCAAGCUCUGAUAAGCUCCUCCCACAGCUAAUCACCUGCCUCAACAGAAACCCUGCCCCCUCUGACCUUUGCACAGGGAGAGCAGCCAAUCAGCCACAAAGAAACACACACACACACACACACACACAAGAAAACCCUUUUUGCUCCUUCUUCAACUGCUGCCCUGCAAGCUCAAGUGUUGUUGAGCUACAAAUCCCAUCAUCCCUGACCACUGGUCCUAGUAGCUAGGGACAAAGGGAGUUGUAGUGCAACAACAUCUGGGGAUUCAACUUUGAGAAAGGCACACAUCUGUAUAUGCACACACACACAUAUUUACAGUUCUCUUUUCUGCCCCUGUUUAAAAACAUUCUUCUUUAGCCAAACCUACCCAGAUGCUGGGAGGUGGGUGGUGCUGUGGGUUAAACCACAGAGCCUAGGACUUGCUGAUCAGAAGGUCGGCGGUUCGAAUCCCCACGAUGGGGUGAGCUCCUGUUGCUCAGUCCCAGCUCCUGCCAACCUAGCAGUUCUAAAGCACAUCAAAGUGCAAGUAGAUAAAUAGGUACCACUCUGGCGGGAGGGUAAACGGCGUUUCCGUGCACUGCUCUGGUUCACCAGAAGCGGCUUGGUCAUGCUGGCCACAUGACCUGGAAGCUGUAUGUCGGCUGCCUCGGCCAAUAAAGUGACAUGAGCGCCGCAACCCCAGAGUCGGCCACGACUGGACCUAAUGGUCAGGGGUCCCUUUACCUUUACCCAGAUGCUUAGAAAGUUGAGGUCAUUUUAAUCAGUUUUAGUAUUUUUACUUGUGUACGUUUUAAAGUAGGGUUGUAAUUUUUUCUUGCUUUUACUGGCUUGUGUUUUGUAAACCACUUUGGGGAUUUUUACAAUCAAGCCGUGUGUAAAUUUUAUAAAAUAAACACACACAGAGACACGUAGUGUAGUAUUUCAUCAUAUCAUAGAAUGGUAGAGUUGGGAGGAAUCCUGAAGGUCAUCUCGUCCAGCCUCCUGCAAGGGGGGUAUGUGUGUGGGGAGAGAGAGAGAACAACAACAACAUAGUAUUUCAUUAUAGAUGCCUAUUGUUCUAACUAUAUAAUUGUUAACUGGAUUUGAGUAAACCUUACUCAGCCGCAUAAGUCGGAAUGCCAAGCGGAAGCUAACAAGUAUGAUUCUUAAUGAUGUUUGAAUGAAUGAGCUCAUUUUCAAUCUAAAAUGGAAUACCUUAUAGUCAAUCCAUUCACUAAUAGUACGAAUGGGGGGUGGGGGAGGGAGAAAGAGACCAAAACAACUUCCCAACCAAGUGGAUGUCAAGCCUGUUUCAACCUUUUAGCUCCCCUAAUAUUUCGUUCCUUUCUUUUUAUUUGAUAGAAUAUGCCUCACCCAAAGAGCGCUUUUUACAAAAAGAAAGGAAGGAAGAAUACCAAGUCAUUUCAUAGAACUUGGCACUCUUAUAUAGGGUCAAGUCACCCUAACUGGAGUGGUCCUUCUCGGUUGUAUGCUUCUGAAGAUCAGCUGCUGGAAAUUGCAGGAGGGCAGCUUGGCCACUGGGAGACCAGGAGCCUGGACUCGGUGGAUCACUGGCCUGGCUAUUUUGUACAUGGUGCAACUCAGGAAUGGGUGAAGUCCCACUGACUCUUGGGGGAGUAAGGCAGGACUGGGCCUUCUUAGAAUGUGGG